UACAGAGGUGGCAAGCGUUGUUCGGAAUUACUGGGCGUAAAGGGCGCGUAGGCGGUUCGUUAAGUCCUGUGUGAAAUCCCCCGGCUCAACUGGGGAACUGCACAGGAAACUGGCGGGCUUGAGUUCGGGAGAGGGAAGCGGAAUUCCGGGUGUAGCGGUGAAAUGCGUAGAUAUCUGGAGGACACCGGUGGCGAAGGCGACAGUCCUGGACCGGCAUUGACGCUGAGGCGCGAAAGCGUGG
rnacentral:rRNA from 1 species